rnacentral:rRNA from 1 species
AGUGAACGCUGGCGGUAGGCCUAACACAUGCAAGUCGAACGGCAGCACAGUAAGAGCUUGCUCUUACGGGUGGCGAGUGGCGGACGGGUGAGGAAUACAUCGGAAUCUACUUUUUCGUGGGGGAUAACGUAGGGAAACUUACGCUAAUACCGCAUACGACCUACGGGUGAAAGCAGGGGAUCUUCGGACCUUGCGCGAUUGAAUGAGCCGAUGUCGGAUUAGCUAGUUGGCGGGGUAAAGGCCCACCAAGGCGACGAUCCGUAGCUGGUCUGAGAGGAUGGUCAGCCAGACUGUAACUGAGACACGGUCCAGACUCCGACGGGAGGCAGCAGUGGGGAAUAUUGGACAAUGGGCGCAAGCCUGAUCCAGCCAUACCGCGUGGGUGAAGAAGGCCUUCGGGUUGUAAAGCCCUUUUGUUGGGAAAGAAAAGCAGCAGGUUAAUACCCCGCUGUUCUGACGGUACCCAAAGAAUAAGCACCGGCUAACUUCGUG